rnacentral:antisense_RNA from 1 species
AAUAACCAAAGAUGAUACUCGGGCUAAGGGUCAAGUUAGUAAUUUUUCUUACACCUACCCCUCCCGGAGUCCAGGUGUCGUAUGCGCCCCCAAAAUAAAAAGCUUGAAUACUAGAAGACUUCUGUUCCUACAAGAGAAACAGAUUAGGAAAAAUACUUGAGAAAAAUAAAAGCACAAAUUAGAACUAGUUUUAAUACAAGUUGAAGUCUUCCA